CACGCCCUAAACCGAAUGCGCGUUAGGUGUAUCGGUGACCACGAGUCACCGAGGUGCCGAAGGGAAACCGUGAAACGUGCCGCCUGGGAAGUACGGUCGCAAGGCUGAAACUUAAAGGAAUUGGCGGGGGAGGCACCACAACGGGUGGAGCCUGCGGUUUAAUUGGACUCAACGCCGGGAAGCUCACCGGAUAAGACAGCGGAAUGAUUGCCGGGCUGAAGACCCUGCAUGACCAGCUGAGAGGAGGUGCAUGGCGUCAGUGACU
rnacentral:rRNA from 1 species